UUGAACGCUGGCGGAAUGCUUUACACAUGCAAGUCGAGCGGCAGCGCGGGGCAACCUGGCGGCGAGCGGCGAACGGGUGAGUAACAUAUCGGAACGUACCCAUUUGAGGGGGAUAACGCACCGAAAGGUGUGCUAAUACCGCAUAAGUCCUGAGGGAGAAAGCGGGGGAUCGCAAGACCUCGCGCGAAUGGAGCGGCCGAUAUCUGAUUAGCUAGUUGGUAGGGUAAAGGCCUACCAAGGCGACGAUCAGUAGCUGGUCUGAGAGGACGACCAGCCACACUGGGACUGAGACACGGCCCAGACUCCUACGGGAGGCAGCAGUGGGGAAUUUUGGACAAUGGGGGCAACCCUGAUCCAGCCAUUCCGCGUGAGUGAAGAAGGCCUUCGGGUUGUAAAGCUCUUUCGGCAGGAACGAAAAGGUCAAGGUAAAUAAUCUUGAUUGAUGACGGUACCUGAAGAAGAAGCACCGGCUAACUACGU
rnacentral:rRNA from 1 species